CCUACGGGUGGCAGCAGUGAGGAAUAUUGGUCAAUGGCCGGAAGGCUGAACCAGCCAAGCCGCGUGAAGGACGAAGGUGCCAAGCAUUGUAAACUUCUUUUGUCAAGGGACAAAAUCAGGCGCGAGAGCCUGACCGAGGGGACUUGAAUAAAAAGCAUCGACAAACUCCGUUCCAGCAGCCGCGGUAAUACUGGGGAUGCGAGCGUUAUCCGGAUUUAUUGGGUGAAAGGGGUGCGUAGGCGGACUGUUAAGUCAGCGGUAAAAGCCCGGGGCUCAACCCCGGCGAGCCGUUGAAACUGGCUGUCUUGAGAUGUCGAGAGGUAUGCGGAAUGCGCAGUGUAGCGGUGAAAUGCUUAGAUAUUGCGCAGAACUCCGAUUGCGAAGGCAGCAUACCGGAGGCGAUCUGACGCUGAGGCACGAAAGCGUGGGUAUCGAACAGGAUUAGAUACCCUUGUAGUC
rnacentral:rRNA from 1 species